GUGCUCGUUUCAGCAGCACAUAUACUAAAAUUGGAACGAUACAGGAAGAUUAGCAUGGCCCCUGUGCAAGAAUGACACGCAACUUCAUGAAGCGUUCCAUAUUUAA
rnacentral:snRNA from 1 species